AGGUCAAAUCAUCAUGCCCUUUAUGUCUUGGGCAACACACGUGCUACAAUGGCUACUACAAAGUGACGCAAAGCGGCGACGCCUAGCCAACCACAAAAAGUAGUCUCAGUUCGGAUUGUAGUCUGCAACUCGACUGCAUGAAGCUGGAAUCGCUAGUAAUCGCGGAUCAGAAUGCCGCGGUGAAUACGUUCCCGGGCCUU
rnacentral:rRNA from 1 species